AUUGAACGCUGGCGGCAUGCUUUACACAUGCAAGUCGAACGGUAACAGGCCGCAAGGUGCUGACGAGUGGCGAACGGGUGAGUAAUGCAUCGGAACGUGCCCAGUCGUGGGGGAUAACUACUCGAAAGAGUAGCUAAUACCGCAUACGAUCUAUGGAUGAAAGCGGGGGACCGUAAGGCCUCGCGCGAUUGGAGCGGCCGAUGUCAGAUUAGGUAGUUGGUGGGGUAAAGGCUCACCAAGCAAACGAUCUGUAGCUGGUCUGAGAGGACGACCAGCCACCACUGGACUGGAACAGCGCCCACGCCCCGACGGGGGGCAGCAGGGGGGGAUUUUUGGCAAUGGCGCAAAGGCUUGACCCAGAAAGGCGGGUGGCAGAAAGAGGCCUUUGGGUUGUAAACCUCUUUUGUUCGGGAAGAAAACGGCUCUGUUUAAAACCCGGGGAAAAUGCCGGUCCCUAAAAAAAAAGCCCCGGCUAACUCCGUG
rnacentral:rRNA from 1 species